CACACCUCCCCAACCCUUACCAUUCCGGUUUGCAGCGGAGCCUCCAUCAGUUGCUUCAGACUGGGAGGCAGGUCUGGUAGCCCAGAGUCCUAGGGAAUACGGAGUAGAAGGAACCGGUGCAAGUCGUCGCUCUGGGCCCCCCUCUCCCCUGCCGCAAGCCCUGCUCCUUACCAUGAGCCUUGCCCCUUUCGUACGGGCCACCUGGAUGGCGUUGCUGGCCAGAGGACAGCUGGAGGGGCACUGAAGAGCAGAGAAGUGGUGCAGGAUUGAUCAAUUCUGACCCAGCAGACGCUAGGCCGCACCCCCCUGCGAAGGCUGGAUGGACCUUCCCAGGGAAACUGGGGUCUUCAAGCCAUGGGGGUCGAGGAGACGACUGGCUUCUGACCUAAACCUGCCCCUCCGGAAACCCACAGGCCGGGGCGCUGGGAGUGCUGCCGGCAAACUACCACACAAGGGGUCCUGGGGUGAUGUCGAGGUCUCGGAAGGAUCCCGAGAUGCUCGGAGUGGGGCGGGGUCACAAGGUGUUCCUGGCUGAUGUUGGAGCUUUACUGUCACGCAUUAAUAAAGUUAUAGGGUCUCUGA